ACCUCGUGUUAGGGUAGAGUACCCGCCAAAUUUAAGCAUAUUAAUAAGCGGAGGAAAAGAAACCAACAGGGAUUCCCUUAGUAAGGGCGACUGAACCGGGAAAAGCCCAGCGCAUAACCUGGCGUCGUGACCCGGCGCCAGGGGUGUUGCGUUUCGGAGGGUCCGGCACGCAGUCUCUCACCGCCUAAGUUAUGCUUGAAAGCGGCCACUACCCAUGGAGGGUGACAGGCCCGUGUGGCGGAGCCCGCGAGGGUACGCGAGAGAUUGUCGGAAAGGGCCUCUCUGUAGAGUCGGGUUGCUUGAGAAUGCAGCCCUAAGCAGGUGGUAAACUCCAUCUAAGGCUAAAUAUGACCACGAGACCGAUAGCGAA
rnacentral:rRNA from 1 species